AUUGAACGCUGGCGGCAGGCUUAACACAUGCAAGUCGAGCGGAGCGAGGGUGCUUGCACCUUAGCUUAGCGGCGGACGGGUGAGUAAUGCUUAGGAAUCUGCCUAUUAGUGGGGGACAACAUUCCGAAAGGAAUGCUAAUACCGCAUACGCCCUACGGGGGAAAGCAGGGGGUCUUCGGACCUUGCGCUAAUAGAUGAGCCUAAGUCGGAUUAGCUAGUUGGUGGGGUAAAGGCCUACCAAGGCGACGAUCUGUAGCGGGUCUGAGAGGAUGGUCCGCCACACUGGGACUGAGACACGGCCCAGACUCCUACGGGAGGCAGCAGUGGGGAAUAUUGGACAAUGGGCGGAAGCCUGAUCCAGCCAUGCCGCGUGUGUGAAGAAGGCCUUUUGGUUGUAAAGCACUUUAAGUGAGGAGGAGGCUACUUAGAUUAAUACUCUGGGAUAGUGGACGUUACUCGCAGAAUAAGCACCGGCUAACUCUGUGCCAGCAGCCGCGGUAA
rnacentral:rRNA from 1 species